GAUGAACGCUGGCGGCGUGCCUAAUACAUGCAAGUCGAGCGAAUGGAUUAAGAGCUUGCUCUUAUGAAGUUAGCGGCGGACGGGUGAGUAACACGUGGGUAACCUGCCCAUAAGACUGGGAUAACUCCGGGAAACCGGGGCUAAUACCGGAUAACAUUUUGAACCGCAUGGUUCGAAAUUGAAAGGCGGCUUCGGCUGUCACUUAUGGAUGGACCCGCGUCGCAUUAGCUAGUUGGUGAGGUAACGGCUCACCAAGGCAACGAUGCGUAGCCGCACUGGGAGGGUGAUCGGCCACACUGGGACUGAGCCACGGCCCAGACUCCUACGGGAGGCAGCAGUAGGGAAUCUUCCGCAAUGGACGAAAGUCUGACGGAGCAACGCCGCGUGAGUGAUGAAGGCUUUCGGGUCGUAAAACUCUGUUGUUAGGGAAGAACAAGUGCUAGUUGAAUAAGCUGGCACCUUGACGGUACCUAACCAGGAAGCCACGGCUAACUACGUGCCAGCCGCCGCAGUAA
rnacentral:rRNA from 1 species